UAAUUUUGUUGCUAAAAGUCCCUUCUUUGAUCUUUCAAUUCAUUCAAAAAAAUGAUUUCUUCACAAUCCAAUUACUUUCUUUCAAGAAGAAAUCAUCCUUCAAUGUUUGAGAUAAUUUUUUCUAUGAACCUCAAAAAUAUCUUAUAAUAGACUUUACAUGAUUUUUUAUCUCUGGUGUAGAAGUCAAUUCAAAUAAAUGAACCAUCUCCCUUUCUAGAACACUCUUCAACUUUAUUUCUUUUAUAUAUCACCUUAAAUAUUUUGUAAUUUCUUUUCCUUAAAAUUGAUCAAUCUUAUCUACAAUCACUUGUAAUGUUUUAUUUGUUAUAUCCUAUUUGCGUUCUUUAACUUAUUGAUGUUACAUGAAUAAGAUAAAAGUCUCAAACAUGCUUGUGGAAUUGGGAUCAAAAUACAUAUCUUAUCUUCCACUUGUAACUCUAGUCAAAGCACCAUCUAUAGCCCCUCCUUUAACUCUCUUGCCUUCAUUCUCCUUAAUUCAAAUAAUCCAAGAAAAUUUUUCAAAUACCUUCCACCUCAAGCUUUUCACGUCGGAUUCACCAAAUCUAUUGUAUUACAUGAAGUCUUGCUUGAGAGUGCAUCAAGCACCUAACUAUGGAAGGUAAAAUAAAAAUUAUAAUAAUAAAAUAUUAAUUCUAAUAUAAUACUAAAUAAAAUCUAAUUAAAUAUUAAUAAUAUUAAAUAAGCUUUAAUCAAAUUCAAAAGAAACUUUAAAGAAAUUAUAAAAGAAACAAUAAGAAAUCUUAAAGAAGUUGAAAGAUAAUCCACAAAAAAUCUUAAAAGAAUCCUUAAAAAGCUUUAAAAAAUUACAAUAUAUCUUAAAUAAAUCUCAACUAAUUUUUAAUUUAAUCCUAGUUAAAAUCCUAAUAGACUUCAAUCAAAUCCUAGACAAAUCUUAAAUUCUAUACUAAAUCCUAGAAAAACCUUAGAUAAAGCCUAAAUCAUAAAUCAAACUUUAAUCAAAUCCUAAAUCCUAAACCAAAUCCUAAAUUCUAAAAAAAAUCCUAAAUCUUAAACUAAAUCCUAAUAAAACCCUAAAUCCUAAGUCAAACCCAAAUCAAACCUUAAAUCCUAAAUCAAAUCCUAAACCAAAUCCUAAUCAGAUCUUAAGAUAGUUUAUAAUCUUAAUAUCUUUUGAUUAAAUUAUUGAUCUUAUUUACAAAUUUAUACACCUCUCAAUCUCUUAGUUAAAAAUAAGUAUAAUAAAUUUGAAGACAAUUGCACUUACCAAAUGGAAGAAAAAUCCUAAAAUCUACUUGGAUGUUGAUUGGCUUCCUUCUCCAACCUUGAUAUUAAUCUCCCAAUGCUAACAUCUCCCUUUUCCAAUAUUCAAUUAUUUUCAAAAUUCUCAUAUAUGUAGAAAAACAAGUCUAAUAUCUAUACACAACUUUUAUUUCAAUACAAUCAGUAGAUUGCAAGAAAUCUUAGAAAUCCUCAUUGAACCUAAAAUUCUACUUUUUAAGACUCCGACCCACUUAAACCUCAAUAACCCUCAAUUCAACUAUUAAAUCAAGCUAAAAUUUACAACACAUAUUAAGCACAACUAUGACCAUUAAGCUACAAAAUUUCACUUAUAGAUCUACUAAAAGAUUCUUGAAAUUGCUCAAAAUAUCAACUCUAUUUUAUUUUACAAAAUUCCAAGUCAUCUAAAAUAUUUUAGACUUUAUAAAGCUCUUACAAAGUCAUUACAAAUCCAAAUCAUACAAAACUAUUGCUUAUAAAAAUUCUAUCAAGUCUUUUCUCAAAUUCCACUCUUUGAUUUCCAAAAGAACCCCAAAGUUGCCAUAGAUGUAUAGUUUUGUACCUAGGGGUCUGAAUUCGACCUAGAUUGACAACUAAUCCU
rnacentral:lncRNA from 1 species